rnacentral:rRNA from 1 species
UGGGGAAUCUUGCGCAAUGCGCGAAAGCGUGACGCAGCAACGCCGCGUGGGGGAAGACGGCCUUCGGGUUGUAAACCCCUUUCAGGAGGGACGAAGGUUCGCCGGUGAAUAGCCGUGCGGAUUGACGGUACCUCCACAAGAAGCUCCGGCUAACUACGUGCCAGCAGCCGCGGUAAUACGUAGGGAGCAAGCGUUGUCCGGAAUCAUUGGGCGUAAAGCGCGCGUAGGUGGCUUCGUAAGUCCGUUGUGAAAGUCAAAGGCUCAACCUUUGAAAGCCGAUGGAUACUGCGGAGCUAGAGUACGGAAGAGGCGAGUGGAAUUCCUGGUGUAGCGGUGGAAUGCGCAGAUAUCAGGAGGAACACCAAUAGCGAAGGCAGCUCGCUGGGACGUUACUGACACUGAGGCGCGAAAGCGUGGGGAGCGAACAGGAUUAGAUACCCUGGUAGUCCACGCCGUAAACGAUGGGUACUAGGUGUGGGAGGUGUCGACUCCUCCCGUGCCGUCGCUAACGCACUAAGUACCCCGCCUGGGGAGUACGGCCGCAAGGCUAA